UUUGAAAAUAAUACGUUUUGUUUGUAAAUUUUCCCGUUUAUUAUCUUUUUGGGAAUUCGCCAUACCGCUCCUCCCUCCCUCCCUCCCGGGGACGAAGGUGCGAAAAAGUGGCGUGAACACCGGGCGGUCGAGGUGGACAAACGCCGCGGGCUAACAGCUGACGCGGACCCUAUCGGUGGCCUGGACCAAGGGUCCGAGGCACUAUUGGACAGGCGAGUGUAUUUUCGAAAGGCCUUUUCGGCAUUUCGGACUCGAUUAAUACAAUGUUUUACCACGGGCAUUGGACGUUCCGGUCACG